UCCUGCAGCUCUGUUCUUAAGCCGUGGAGAUUUGUGAAAUUGGUAGACUGCUCCAUAUCAGUAGUAAUUGAUCCUAAAAAUAGUUUAUCCUAAAGUCAUGUUUUCUGUGAAAUGGUAGAAACGGGCAUUACUAUCUUAAAUGGGGACUUGUAGAAAUGAGAAUUCAUUAUUUCUACUCGCUUCCUCUCACGUUUCUAUACAAGUAAUCAAAGCAGUAAUGUAACUUUUCCACCUUUAUAAAAGUUCUGUGCUUAAACCCAUAAGACGGAAAGGCUCUGUAGUUUGCUGUCUACUGCUCAUUACAUUUCCAGCUUUGCUUCUACCAGACUAGCAGAUCACUUUCUUUGCAGGCUGACUUGUCAAAACUAAUUUGCAGCAGUACAAGUGCAGCAGGGUUUAGUAUAGCUCUGGCCCAUAACCUGUGUUCUGAUCUUAUGUUGAAGGCUCAAUCUUUGUUUCUGUUAUGUAUGAACAGAGAACAGAUGUCUUAAAUUCCAGUGCUUUUUGUAAAUCCAUACCAGAGUUUCAGCUUGCAGUUAUAUUGGUAAUUGUUUUGUUUCCUUCCUUCAUUUAUUUAUUUUUUUUAAAAAUGGAAUUCUUCCCAGGAGUAAGUGAUUGGAUUUUGCUGACAGCAGUCCUUCGGCUUCUCCCAGCAUCUAAAUUUGCAGACCUUCAGCUCACCCUGUAGUGCACACCCUUACCUUAUGCCACAUUCUUCAUUCAUAAAAUAUUUCUCAGUACAGUUUCUGAGACCUGCUUGGUCAGAAGCAGGAACACUGAAAAGUUUCAUCAAGCUGAAUUCUUAGUGUUCCUACCUCCUCGAGCCUGAGGCCGCAGACAUCACAAGGGCAGCCGUCUGUCCUGGGGCAGCAGCAGCGAGCAGUGCCUAGCUGUCCUACAAGCUGCCCUGCAAUUCUGUGGCAAACGGGCUUCCCCAGAUACUGGAUCAGGAAGAAGCAUGCAGCCUUGUUGCUCAGUUGCCUCAGCACAUACAGUAGAUCAGCUUUGAGUGCAGAGUCUCCUCUGUGGAACCAGCUGAAGGUGUUUGACGGAGACUGAAAAGCCUUGCUCUUCUGGCUGAAGAUAGGUUUCUUUUCCCAGUUUUAAUUUUGUUCUACAUCUCAAAGAAUGUGUUGAAAACAUAUUGGAGAAGUUGUCUUACAUCCUUGAACGCCCAGCUGAGAGAGGGAGCAAUUGGAGAGUGGGUAGUCCUGUAAGCAGGAACAGAUAAAGCGUCCUGGGGGUGGUAUGUUUGCCCCAGCAACUGAAAUGACCAGCAUUGAGUCCUGUGUACAACUGCAGGCUCUUGAGAGUCUGCCAAAAUAUAUAGCUUACUCUGCAAGAUUCAUGUGAUGGCUUCUUUGGUUCUUUUCAAUUGUGAGUAUUCUGCUUACGUGCCAUCUGAAAUGGCCAAGCUGUUAUUGCAGGGCUCUACCAUCUUUGUUUACCUGACAGUGCUACUUAUCAUCUGUGUCUUGAGUUAAAGCCUAGAGGAAGUUUAAUAAAUGACAUCUGCCUUUGUUUGCAACUUUCACCAGUACUGACUGUUCCUUCUGG